GUAAGUGUGGCGAAAAUGGAAAAACGCGCGGUGCCGACCGUGACUGCUUAUAAAGGAUGCGCGCCAGAUGCAGUCGUUUGCAGGUUCGAAUCCUGUCGCUUACG
rnacentral:tRNA from 1 species